GACUUACCUCCUCAGUAUGAAGCCGCACUGAUUACGGACUUACCCUGGAUUCUCUCUCAGUUUUGCUGACUCAGAGUCUGCUGCCCCAGGAAGCACUCCUCCAGAGCCUCGCGGUGUCCUGUGCCCCCAGCAUUCACCUGGGAUUGAAGCUCCUCAGUGAGGUCUAAGAGACAUAAGAGGUCGACAGCAGGUGGGCUUUCCCUGUGUAUUGACAAAGAUGGCUACUGGCAACUCUGGCUCCCUGUCCCUACC